rnacentral:tRNA from 1 species
GCGCCCUUAGCUCAGCUGGAUAGAGCAUUAGGCUUCGAACCUAAGGGUCGGGAGUUGCUCGCUACGCUCACGCCAACGCGCUUUCGCGCUUUUGGUCGAAUCUCUCAGGGCGCU